rnacentral:rRNA from 1 species
AUUGCAUAUCAAUAAGCGGAGGAAAAGAAACCAACAGGGAUUGCCCCAGUAACGGCGAGUGAAGCGGCAACAGCUCAAAUUUGAAAUCUGGCCCCUCCGGGUCCGAGUUGUAAUUUGUAGAGGAUGCUUUUGGUGAGGUGCCGCCCGAGUUCCCUGGAACGGGACGCCACAGAGGGUGAGAGCCCCGUCUGGCUGGCCACCGAGCCUCUGUAAAGCUCCUUCGACGAGUCGAGUAGUUUGGGAAUGCUGCUCAAAAUGGGAGGUAUAUGUCUUCUAAAGCUAAAUAUUGGCCAGAGACCGAUAGCGCACAAGUAGAGUGAUCGAAAGAUGAAAAGCACCUUGAAAAGAGGGUUAAACAGUACGUGAAAUUGUUGAAAGGGAAGCGCUUGUGACCAGACUUGGGCGCGGCGGAUCAUCCGGGGUUCUCUCCGGUGCACUUCGCCGCGUUCAGGCCAGCAUCAGUUCGUCGCGGGGGAAAAAGGCUUCGGGAACGUGGCUCCUCCGGGAGUGUUAUAGCCCGUUGCAUAAUACCCUGCGGUGGACUGAGGACCGCGCAUCUGCAAGGAUGCUGGCGUAAUGGUCACCAGCGACCCGUCUUGAAACACGGACCAAUC